UACGUAGGGUGCAAGCGUUAAUCGGAAUUACUGGGCGUAAAGCGUGCGCAGGCGGUUUUGUAAGACUGACGUGAAAUCCCCCGGGCUCAACCUGGGAAUGGCGAUGAAGACUGCAAGGCUAGAGUUUGGCAGAGGGGGGGUAGAAUUCCACGUGUAGCAGUGAAAUGCGUAGAUAUGUGGAGGAACACCGAUGGCGAAGGCAGCCCCCCUGGGUCAAAACUGACGCUCAUGCACGAAAGCGUGGGGAGCAAACAGG
rnacentral:rRNA from 1 species